rnacentral:rRNA from 1 species
GACGAACGCUGGCGGCGUGCUUAAUACAUGCAAGUCGAGCGAGGUUACUGUUUUGGAUCCCUUCGGGGUGAAGAAGCUUUAACCUAGCGGCGGACGGGUGAGUAACGCGUGGGUAACCUACCCCAAAGUCCGGGAUAACAGCGGGAAACCGCUGCUAAUACCGGAUGCCUUUACCUUGGGGCAUCUUGAGGUAAAGAAAGGUAACGCUUUGGGAUGGGCCCGCGUCCCAUUAGCUAGUUGGUGAGGUAACGGCUCACCAAGGCGACGAUGGGUAGCCGGCCUGAGAGGGUGGACGGCCACACUGGGACUGAGACACGGCCCAGACUCCUACGGGAGGCAGCAGUAGGGAAUAUUGCGCAAUGGACGGAAGUCUGACGCAGCGACGCCGCGUGAGUGAUGAAGGUCUUCGGAUCGUAAAGCUCUGUCCUUGGGGAAGAAGGCGAAAGCUUGACGGUACCCAAGAAGAAAGCCCCGGCUAACUACGUG